ACCUUCUUAUCUGAGGGUUUGGUAAACAGAUAACCAGCUUCGAACCUUAACUUGGUAGAAGUGCUAUGCGCCACAUCCUUAUACUCUAAAUUCAGAGGAACCUCUAGGCCUGAGGCUGAAUGUGGCAAGUCUUGAUAUGAUCCUCAGCACUCUCCCAAGACCACACACCCUCCACAACCACACCCUGCUCCUAUGCCACACCUCUCACCAGCUCCUUGAGUGUUUUCACCAGACUGCAGAGUAGAAAGGGACGUGUCAGCAUGUGCAGAAACCAGCCUACUGCACAAAAGUAACAUCUACGCUAAUUACAGAACAGGAUUUAGGUCUGAUGAGGCCCUAAACUGCUGAAGAAGAAAGUAUCUUCUUCUUCUUUUCACAUUUAUACUCCGCUGUUACUUCAGGGGCCUCAAGGUGGCAUGCACCGUUCUCACCCUUCCCUGCUGUAUCCGCACUGCAACCCUGAGAGUUAAGUCAGUCAACACCUGCACGUCAGCAACAGUGAUCACCUGUGGAACAUCUCGUGCCCUACUGGCGGAAGACAGCUGAACAAAGCAUUCAGCAUGCAUGCUGCAACACCUAAGCACAAGAAUGUGAUUUAAAGCCUAGUUCCAAAAAGGUGCCAGACUUUAAGGCAACAUGUUCAAAAGCUGGAGGGAUGUGUCUAUUCAGAACAGUAUGCCAAGGAUGAUGAAGGGACAUAUCACGAAAGCUCAGAUAUUUGCACUUGCAAAGGCGGAAAAAUACAGCGCCACCAGCCCUCAAAGGAUCUCUGUCACGUGCUUACUUUAUUGCUCUACCUUUGUGCACAAGCUUUUCUGCUUAGACCGAGACUUCUGUGAUUGGAGUAUUAAGUUGAAAAACCAGCAAGAAAGAAGGAUGUUUCUUGAAAUGCUCUAAUGGCCAAAGGGGUGGGGGAGAAGCCUACCAAUGUAUGAUUUAUUUAAAUUUAUAGUCCAGCAUAUGCUAAACACUUGGGGCAGGUAACAAAUGGGUGGAGAAAGCAUAAAUAAAAACAGGAUUAAUAACCAAGCACAAAAAUGCAUUAAGCCCCACACAACUCUCAGAGGUUGCCUUGUUUGGAGUUGCAAAGGAAUUUUUUACCAGGUUAUUCUGAUUAGUGAUUGUGCAGUAAUUUUGCUUCCUCUGGAUGUGAGUUCCCUUACUCCAAUAAUCUUGAGAUAAGUGCUUUUGCUGUUAUGCAGGGAUCCCCUCCUUCCUGCUACAGCACACUGGGAUCUGAGUUGCUCUGUCGUCUGCUGAGGUGUACAAUAUAGAUUUGGGCUGUAUAUGUUGGUCCUUUCCAGUUCUGCUGUUCUAACCAAUCAGUUGUGUGUUGUUUUAGAAGAUGAAGCUAGGAUCAGCAACGUGAAUAGUGAAGUGGGAAGAGCUUGGAUGCACACUGCGCCCCAAGAGCUUCCUACCUUGGUUCUCAAUUCUGAUGAUCCAAAUACACCAUGCAAGUGAUGCUACGGUUCAGGGGCAAGAAAGCGGUUCUAAACUAUUUGUGCCGUGCGGUUCACCUUACAAAUAAUUAGGGGUGUUAGAAAUGCAUAAUAAGACUAUGGAGAAAUUGCCAACAGCUUCUAAGGCAAGUAGGUCAAACAUAAAAGAAAACACUUCCAUUUGAUUAGGAAAUCAGAUUUGAGACUUGGCUUCACCCCUACAUAUCUGUUGUUAUUCCGUACUCAUGGGAGUGACUUAAAACAGAAAUCUGUUUCUGGAUAUAGCCCACAAUAUGGCCUUGCAUCAAUUGAAUUCUUAUGAUUUAUUUUUUUCUGCAUUAAAAAAUGAGAUGGAAUUGGCCCAGCUAUUGUUCCUAAAUAUCAAGAUAGACUUUUGCUUCACCACCACAGAAGAGCCAAAUACCCAUCAAACACCACUUUUAUGAAGCGUCUCAAAAUGUCUAGUCUGUCCAGCAACCAUUGUGUUUGGAUAAACUCUGAAGGCUGCCUUCUGGAUUUUCUUUUCAGAGACAGGGACCGUGUGGGCCUCCUGCAGAUCAGCCAACUCUGGGAUUUGGGCAUACUCUUGACGAAUAAAGAGGAUGGCACCGUGCCUCCAGGGGGUUGGAAUGCAGGGCAACAUGUUUGCUCCAAAAUAAACGUCAUGUACAAUACAUUCAUAAGGUUUGUUGGGUUUACUUACAU